rnacentral:rRNA from 1 species
UUCUGAGAGGAAGGUCCCCCACACUGGAACUGAGACACGGUCCAGACUCCUACGGGAGGCAGCAGUGAGGAAUAUUGGUCAAUGGACGAAAGUCUGAACCAGCCAAGUAGCGUGCAGGAUGACGGCCCUCUGGGUUGUAAACUGCUUUUAGUUGGGAAUAAAAAAGAGGACGUGUCCUCUAUUGUAUGUACCUUCAGAAAAAGGACCGGCUAAUUCCGUGCCAGCAGCCGCGGUAAUACGGAAGGUCCAGGCGUUAUCCGGAUUUAUUGGGUUUAAAGGGAGCGUAGGCGGAUUAUUAAGUCAGUGGUGAAAGACGGUGGCUCAACCAUCGUUAGCCAUUGAAACUGGUAGUCUUGAGUGCAGACAGGGAUGCUGGAACUCGUGGUGUAGCGGUGAAAUGCUUAGAUAUCACGAUGAACUCCGAUCGCGAAGGCAGGUGUCCGGGCUGCAACUGACGCUGAGGCUCGAAAGUGUGGGUAUCAAACAGGAUUAGAUACCCUGGUAGUCCACACAGUAAACGAUGUAUACUCGCGGUUUGCGAUAGACAGUAAGCCGCCAA